rnacentral:rRNA from 1 species
GCUUGCUUCUUAGCUGAUGAGUGGCGGACGGGUGAGUAAUGUCUGGGAAACUGCCUGAUGGAGGGGGAUAACUACUGGAAACGGUAGCUAAUACCGCAUAACGUCGCAAGACCAAAGAGGGGGACCUUCGGGCCUCUUGCCAUCGGAUGUGCCCAGAUGGGAUUCUCUAGUAGGUGGGGUAACGGCUCACCUAGGCGACGAUCCCUAGCUGGUCUGAGAGGAUGACCAGCCACACUGGAACUGAGACA